AUGGUUUCAUUCUCCACUUGGUCAUGGAAAUCCAUUGUGUGAUCUUGGGUGGUUCACACUCUCUCAGUCUCAGAAAACCCUGUAAUAGGUUUCUCUAUCACAAGUUGGAAAACACUUCAAGGCACACAACAACAAUAGACAGUUUUCUCAUCCUGAGAUUCUUAACUGAGGCCCUCCCACACAGUCCUACAUUCCAAAAUAUCAAGGCAGAAAAUCCCACAAAAUCUGCUUUAUCUGAGUCCACACCGCCAUAUAUUACAGUUCAAAGCAGAUUCUGGGAUAUAGGGCUGUGUGGAAGGGACCCUCAGGAGAGAAGAAGGUUCAGGAUCUGAAAUCUAGCAGCCCUCAGUGUGGACCUAUGUUAGCUGAAAAGUAAUUUGUUGCAUGUAACUGCACCAAACGUAACUCAUUACCUCCAAGCUCUGGUGGUUCUCAGAAGCUGCCUUGAAGAAAACCAUUUAUAAGCCAGCCCGCCUGCUUUACUGAAGCCCUGCAGCUGCUCUUUCUUCUCUCUUUUGCUCGCAGUAAAACGGAUGGAGAGGCCAAGGGAAAGGCGCAGAUGCUCUGCUCGUUUGUUUUGGCUCUGGAAGCAAAAUUGUCUAACAAUUGGAGAGGGCCAAGCAGAGGUUAGGAGUAAUGGCACAGAAGGGACAGGACGAUUUAUCCACAAAGUCAGUGCUGGGCAGAGGGAUAGCUUUAUCUCUGCAAGGCCCCACAGCUGGCUGAUGGAGAGUUGCUCUUGUUCUCCUGAUAAGCAUGCACGCUGCCUGCAUAAUUCUCUUAGAGGGUUCCUUUGUGGUUCAGCAGCCGAUUUCUGCAAACUUUCUGCAUUGGGAUUUGCCAUUUCCUUCCUCUGAGACCGAGAGAGUGUGACAUGCCCAAAGUCACCAUGUCUGAGUGGGAAUUCAAAUCCUGGUCCCCUGGAGUCCCAGUCCAUCGUUCAAACCACUACACCAUUCAGACUCUCUUUGAAGAGUUUCAGCGUCAGAGAAGCACCAGCUCUGGAUGUUGUUAUAAGAUUGGCUGUCACUGAGGAUGUACUUAUUCUUCAAGAAUGAAGCUUGAUCUUCUUGAUGAAAUAUGAAGAUUGAUGAGAAAAUGUAUUUUUUUUACUGAAAAGGACCUCUAAUGUUACUUUUUAAAAAGUGUUUUUAAAAGGUUACACUACCAUGGUCUAUACAGCCCUUACGUUUGUCUACUUAUACUGAAAUAAACUUGAUUUGUCUCCCCAAAUAUAUAUAUAUUCCACCCCAUAAUUUACACUGUGCGUUUCAUAACUAGGAGCAGAGCUUGGAAGUUCCUUUUUUGGACUGUACUUUGGUUUGGGUCCAAGUUACCUACAGGAUCACCUUCUCCUUCACUAUUCACCCUUUAUGAUACUGAGAUCUUCUGGGGGACGCUUACUCAAACCAACCAGAACCCAGUUGGCGACUGUCACUCAGAGGAUCUUUUCACCAGCCACCUCACGACUGUGGAAUGUCUAGUCGGAAGAGCUCCCACAGCUAAAUGAGCUGUCAACAUUUAAGACACAACUGGAGACCCAACUCUUCUGGCAGGCCUACCCAGUCAACCUGAAAACAUGAGUUUUAUGUUUGUGUUCUAUAGCUAGCUACUGUAUUUUGAUCAUCACAGUAUGUGUUUUGGUGUAUGUAUUUUAUAGUGGUGUGUUUUGAUAUACCCUAUGUAUUUUUUGUAUGCAUUUUAUGUUGUGUUUUGACUGAGUUGUACCUCACAUUGAGCUAUGAGGAGAAGUGGGUAAUAAAUAAAAUGUAUGGUUAUAAAGCA